AUGGCAACACAGGAGGAACCGAACAGAACCCGCCAGGGCAAGGAACUUGUGGAAGAACUCUUGGGUCGAUUGGAGCUUCAGGAGGAUGAGGAGGAGCACUUUGUCUGGGAGGAGGAAUUCAAGGAGGAGAAGAUCGAGGCCGAGUGGCUUGCGAUCGCGAAGGUGCACACAAAUAAGGGUUUCAACCCCUCUGCUCUCUAUGAUGAUAUGAGAUCGGUGUGGAAUCCAGCCAGGGAGGUCUGUUGGCGAAGAGUAGAUGACAAUCUGUUCACGGUACAGUUCGGAUGCCUGGGGGACUGG
rnacentral:rRNA from 1 species